rnacentral:rRNA from 1 species
AGAGUUUGAUCCUGGCUCAGGACGAACGCUGGCGGCGUGCUUAACACAUGCAAGUUGAACGGGAAUAUCGUUUUCGGAUGAUAUUCUAGUAGCGGACGGGUGAGUAACGCGUGAGCAACCAACCUUUGUGAGGGGGACAACAGCUGGAAACGGCUGCUAAUACCGCAUAAGACCACGGUUUCGCAUGGAACUGAGGUAAAAGAUUUAUCGCACAAAGACGGGCUCGCGUCCCAUUAGCUAGUUGGUGAGGUAACGGCUCACCAAGGCUUCGAUGGGUAGCCGACCUGAGAGGGUGAUCGGCCACACUGGAACUGAGACACGGUCCAGACUCCUACGGGAGGCAGCAGUGGGGAAUAUUGGGCAAUGGGCGCAAGCCUGACCCAGCAACGCCGCGUGAGGGAAGAAGGUCUUCGGAUUGUAAACCUCUGUCCUUGGGGACGAAAAAAAUGACGGUACCCAAGGAG